AGUCGAGCGGAGAUGAGGUGCUUGCACCUUAUCUUAGCGGCGGACGGGUGAGUAAUGCUUAGGAAUCUGCCUAUUAGUGGGGGACAACAUUCCGAAAGGAAUGCUAAUACCGCAUACGCCCUACGGGGGAAAGCAGGGGAUCUUCGGACCUUGCGCUAAUAGAUGAGCCUAAGUCGGAUUAGCUAGUUGGUGGGGUAAAGGCCUACCAAGGCGACGAUCUGUAGCGGGUCUGAGAGGAUGAUCCGCCACACUGGGACUGAGACACGGCCCAGACUCCUACGGGAGGCAGCAGUGGGGAAUAUUGGACAAUGGGCGGAAGCCUGAUCCAGCCAUGCCGCGUGUGUGAAGAAGGCCUUUUGGUUGUAAAGCACUUUAAGCGAGGAGGAGGCUACUUAGAUUAAUACUCUAGGAUAGUGGACGUUACUCGCAGAAUAAGCACCGGCUAACUCUGUGCCAGCAGCCGCGGUAAUACAGAGGGUGCGAGCGUUAAUCGGAUUUACUGGGCGUAAAGCGUGCGUAGGCGGCUGAUUAAGUCGGAUGUGAAAUCCCUGAGCUUAACUUAGGAAUUGCAUUCGAUACUGGUCAGCUAGAGUAUGGGAGAGGAUGGUAGAAUUCCAGGUGUAGCGGUGAAAUGCGUAGAGAUCUGGAGGAAUACCGAUGGCGAAGGCAGCCAUCUGGCCUAAUACUGACGCUGAGGUACGAAAGCAUGGGGAGCAACAGGAUUAGAUACCCUGGUAGUCCAUGCCGUAACGAUGUCUACUAGCCGUUGGGGCCUUUGAG
rnacentral:rRNA from 1 species